AUACAGUGUCUAUGGUCUCUGAA
rnacentral:siRNA from 1 species